AUCACUUUGUUUUCUCUAUCUGCAUGUUUUGCACAUAUCACUUUUAACACUGUCAGUUCCGUUUAGGGUCUGACUCUAUAUUCUAAUUUCAGAUGUGUUGAUUCAUAUAGCAUAUAUGACACAUAGAUUCAUGAUUUUUUAUUAAUGAUAUUUGAUCUUUUGAUCAGUUGGAUAAAUUGAUAAUGGAGAUUUUUUUCCUUUUGAUUAAUUAGUUGCUCGAUCUAAUAAUACUUUGUUCAUUCCUAUACACAUUAAUAAAGUUUUCACUAUGCGUUUACCGUUUCUAUGUUGCCAGGGUGAC